rnacentral:rRNA from 1 species
CGGACGGGUGAGUAACGCGGUGGGGAACCGUCGCCCUGUACGAGGGGGAUAACACUUAGAAAUAGGUGCUAAUACCGCAUAAGCGCACAGUAUCGCAUGAUACCCCCAGUGUGAAAAACUCCGGUGGUACAGGAUGGACCCGCGUCUGAUUAGCUGGUUGGCGGGGUAACGGCCCACCAAGGCGACGAUCAGUAGCCGGCCUGAGAGGGCGAACGGCCACAUUGGGACUGAGACACGGCCCAAACUCCUACGGAAGGCAGCAG